UUUUUUUUUUUGUGAAGUGUCCCUUUGAAUCAUUUUUAAUCAUGUUAAUGAGGAUUAUGUAAUCAUUUAUAUUCACAAACAGUAUUGAAGAAUUUGAUUUUCAAACCAUUUACCCUAUUUAUAUUAGAAUAAAACAGACAAAUAAUUGUUAACGCUUUAAGUUGUGUUCUAUUGAAAGGAUCUAGCUACAGGCUAACCAGAGUUUGACUCGGCGGAAGCAUAAAUAUUGCAGCGCGGAAGGAUACAUGAGUGAAUCGACAGUGAUCCAACUGUCAGUCUCUGUCAGUGUCGAUCAAAGGUGGGAGGAUGGCCCUUCGACAUUUAUCAACGGAGGAUUUAAUCACGGAGUUAUUUACUUUGGGGAUAGAGGUCACUGAAGAGGAGAAAAGUAAAUUCAAAAAUAAUGAUGUUGAUGGAGAAGCAGUGGACUCUGGAUUGACUGAGAGGAUGAUUUCAUGCCUCUUUGAAGGGUCGUUUAAGAAGCAAGCCAAAUUCAACUGAUUUGUUCAGCAGUGGAAAAAAAGCCUGUGAAGUACAUUCAGAGAAGGCUACAGCACAUACAUACUGUGUCAAUGAUAAACAGUUUGUUAGUAUGGGGCAUUUAUGUUAAGCUGUGUUGCGAGGGCUGUAGAGGGUUGUGGAUGAGCUCAAAGCUUGUGUUUUUUAAUCCAGAACACAUCAAGUGUCAUUUAGUUUAUCCGUUAUUUGACUCUCUUUACUUUUGGUGGUCUUUGAUAAAAAACUCAUGUUUUUCUGCACUAUAUUGCUGUUCUUAUUAGUGAUGUUCAGGAAAUUGAAAGAAGGAAAAUAUAAAUGGUUACAUUGUAUUUAUUCUCUGAUAUCGCUGUUCAUUUUGUUUUUGGAGUGGCAGUAAGUUGUCAGUUUGUCAGUGAAAUGCUUCUUAAAAAAAUUUAAUUAAUUAUUUUUAAUGUUUUUAUAUCAGACAUGACAUCCUAAACAUUGUUACAUUUUAUUUUGGGUUGUUACAUUGAAUGGUUGUGAGAUGAAUUAUUAUUGAAUCUGUGAAUUAAAUUUCCAUUUAAGGACUAAAAUAAAUGUCUUAAAAUUCA